rnacentral:rRNA from 1 species
AAUGGGACGUAUAGGUGGUGACACCUGCCCGGUACCGGAAGGUUAAGGGGAGGGGUAAGCCGAAAGGCGAAGCUCCGAACCGAAGCCCCGGCAAACGGCGGCCGUAACUAUAACGGUCCUAAGGUAGCGAAAUUCCUUGUCGGGUAAGUUCCGACCCGCACGAAUGGUGUAACGAUUCUGGGCGCUGUCUCAACGCGGGACUCGGUGAAACUUAUAUUCCGGUAAAGAAGCCGGAUACCCGUAAUUAGACGGAAAGACCCCGUGAACCUUCACCGCAGCUUAUCACUGGGAUUCUAUCCGCCAUGUGUAGGAUAGCCGGGAGGCACUGAAGCGUGCGCGUCAGCGUGCGUGGAGCCGCUGGUGAAAUACCGGCCCUGGCGGAUGGGAUUUCUAACUCCGGUCCGUGAAGCCGGAAGGGGGACAGUGAUUGGCGGGCGGUUUGACUGGGGCGGUCGCCUCCUAAAGGGUAACGGAGGCGCGCGAAGGUCUCCUCGCGGUGGUUGGAAAUCAUCGUACGAGUGUAAAGGCACAAGGAGGCUUGACUGCGAGUGAGACAUCACGAGCAGGUGCGAAAGCAGGUCUUAGUGAUCUGGCGGCGGCAAGUGGAAGCGCCGUCACUUAACGGACAAAAGGUACUCCGGGGAUAACAGGCUGAUUUUCCCCAAGAGUUCACAUCGACGGGAAAGUUUGGCACCUCGAUGUCGGCUCAUCGCAUCCUGGGGCUGGAGCAGGUCCCAAGGGUUUGGCUGUUCGCCAAUUAAAGCGGUACGUGAGCUGGGUUCAGAACGUCGCGAGACAGUUCGGUCCCUAUCUGUUACGGGCGGAGGAUGUUUGAGAGGAGCUGCUUUUAGUACGAGAGGACCGAAGCGGACGAACCUCUGGUAUACCGGUUAUCCUGCCAAGGGUAAGUGCCGGGUGGCUACGUUCGGAAGGGAUAACCGCUGAAAGCAUCUAAGCGGGAAGCCCGCCUCAAGAUGAGACAUCCCUGAGGGUAUAACCCUCCUAAAGACCCCGGAGACACUAUCCGGUUGAUAGGCUGCAGGUGCAGGCACGGCGACGUGCACAGCCGAGCAGUACUAAUAGGUCGUGAGGCUUGACCAU